CCCCCGAAGCCACCCCGAUCUGUUCGCCUUGAUGGGGAUCGAUGGCCGGGACACGAGAGAGAUCCUCCACGAUAGCGCCGCGCUCAAUGGAGAGACCCUCCACGCUUCACAACCGCCUCCUUGGACAUAUCCCAGCUUACAUGUUCAGGAUCAGACAUCUACAUUGGUUUCAUCUACUGUUUUGGUGGAUACAUGAAACAAUGGGUGGUAACAAAUUUAUAAAUCACAUGACAUGGUGAAGGACUGCCAGAUUGGUUAUACAAGGGGUGUGCAGCAGCUAUAUUUAUCUAUUGACAUAUAACUCAUUGGCCUGUUUAUUUGCUUUCAAAAUUGUUUUGCAUGGCCAGCUAGCCAGCUAUUUCAAGUAGAUAUUAGAUCUGCACUGUCUAUAAAAGAAAAGCUUUUUUUUUGACCCGUUCAGGAUUUCCUUGCCAGGGUAUCCUACUUCAAAAAUUGCAAAACCCAGCACUGCGUAAAAUCUUGAAGGUACCUGCAAGUGAGGUAUGCUAUCUAUAUUUGUUGAACUUCAUCUUUUAAAGAUUUAGGAUAUAGACUUAUGCACUCACACAGGCACACAUGUUUCUGUAUAGUCCAAUUGAUAGUUUCUUGGCGAACUCUAUAUAAUUGGUGGUAACACUUUGCCGAAAUCUAUAUAUAAAGCCAAGUCAGGGACAUAAGGCUGGCAAGGCUGGUGUUUACUUGCCGAAACUUGGUAUUUUGUCCUUGGCAGUAAAUGUUGCCUCUUUGAAAGUAACAUCAAAGAAAGGCUUAAAAAUGCACCUAACUGUUGUUUCGUGUUUGUUAUUUCCAACCCAUCAUUUGUACAUAUCAAGUUGGUGUAUCAGUUGAUAUAUUUUGUAUGUAAAAUUAUGCACUACUCUUCUGGUUGUGAUACCACUCUCCGAGCCUCUCUUAAUACACUAUUACAUGGCAGUUGGUAUCUUUUUUACAGUUAUUCUUUCAAAUUUCACUAGGCACUCUCACAGUUGUCUUUUCGUUUUGCUCUUAUAAUUAAUAAGCUUUUUGAUUGUGGCACCAAAUUAAAAUCCUCUCUUAAUACACUAUUACAUAGCAGUUGGUAUCUUUUUUACAGUUAUUCUUUUAAAUUUCACUAGGCACUUUCACAGUUGUCUUUUCGUUUUGCUGUUAGAAUUAAUAAGCUUUUUGAUUGCAGCACCAAAUUAAAAUCCCCUAUAGCUUAUUUUUAUGUUGUUUAUCUGCGAGCAUAUCAGGUCCAUAUUUUGCGUUGCCACUCAUGAGUAAUUUAUUGGCUUAAAGGUUACAUGAAUCUGUGGUCAGCUUUGAUAGAAAGCCGCCCAACGACUCCGUCAUGUUGAUUACUUCAGUGUUGAGGUAAUCUCUAUCUAUAUAGCUUAUUUCAGUGUGAUUGUUAAUUAUCUCUGCUGUAAAUUUACUUAACUGAAUCUCACCCUUUCAUUACAUGUAUAACGAGUACCUUUUCUGCCGUAUUACAGACUGAGCUUGCUCAUUUAACAUAUAAGUGGAAUUACUCCUGAAUUCUAACCAAUAUUUUAGCAUGUUACCCAGACGCGUUGUGGUUUCCUAGGAGAGUGCUCUCUUUGCUUUUAGCUCUUUCACUAUGCUCAAUGACCUUCGGUUUGAGAUGUAUAGUACUCAAUUUUUAGUCAUAUGAGUAAAUCAUAGGGAAAUCCAAAACUAUCUAGAUUAACGCUUAAUGGAAGAGCAGCUUCCUAGAUAUACUAUUCUUCUGCUCUUUAUUUCUUUCAUCUGGUUCUCACAUACUGCAACAACUUCAUGUAUCGUUGCCUGGCCUAACAGCCGCUGGAGUUGAGCACUGCAUCCUAAUACAACAGCCAGCAGUGCCACUGGAUUCAAGAGCCAUGCUCUAAAAACGAAUGUUAGACUUAUAGACUUUAUUUUUUUUAGUGGAUGGAUGGAGGAAGCAGCAUUUAAUUCACACAGCUCGGUACACUCCUAAAUAUUGUACUCCUUCUACCUAGGCCUUUUUGCGGGAAGUUUUAAAAAUUGUUCACAAUUCUGUUAUUUAUUAGUAUGAACAAAUAGGGGCUAACUGUUCAAAUUUGACUGCACGAGCAGAUAUACAACAGAGAACCCACUCUGAAAGUUAGCACGAGGCAGUGCUCAGGGAGCUGAACUUCAGGUAUCUGCGUAUAACAGCAGCAAGUGUUGAGUACUCAGAGUACUAUGCACAGCUGCUGCAGAUAUCGGCGCAACUUAGCAUACCUUUCGGCAUAUAACACAAUAGUAGGUGUUGGAUGUUCAAAGUACAGUCUACGGCUGCUGCAAAUAUGAAUGCGGAUCAUUUAACAUGCAUCGUAUUAGUACGUGUUUGCUACUACCAUCUGGUUCUGUAUGAUGGCACGGUCAAUAGAUUUUUUCGUGUAUUUGUACUGCUCUUCACAAAUGUAAUGAAUGCGUUGAAGGCUGUAUUUAUUCUUAGUUUUCUUAUUCAGUUACAACUUA